CGUGAAAUUGUUGAAAGGGAAGCGCUUGCAAUCAGACUUGCACUUGGUGUUCAUCAGGGUCUCGUACCCUGUGUACUUCAUCAAGUUCAGGCCAGCAUCAGUUUGAGUGGUUAGAUAAAGGCUUAGAGAAUGUGGCCCUCUUCGGGGGGUGUUAUAGCUCUAGGUGCAAUGUAGCCUACUUGGACUGAGGAACGCGCUUCGGAUAGGAUGCUGGCGUAAUGGUUGUAAGCGACCCGUCUUGAAACACGG
rnacentral:rRNA from 1 species